rnacentral:sRNA from 1 species
UCGUCAGAUAUCUGCAUUUAGAAAUUGAUUUACAAAAUCCUCCCACUAUCCCCCUUUUUUCUCUUUCUCUCUCUAUCAAAUGUUUAGUUGUGAAUACCAUUACUCAUUCCCUAAUGUUACACAAAAGUCAAAUGUUAAUUAAGAGGCCAAAUGUAGAUUUGAUUUGGUUUUUUUUUUAAGCUUCACAAACUGUGUUUCUGAGGACAUAACAUGUUUGUUCUGAAUUCCCUGUUCUCUUCACAUCUUUAUAAUUUUCAUCACAAGCCAAACUGGCAUAUGUCAACUUUUUACCAAAUAAAUUGUUUUGCAUUAC